ACCCUCUGGUUCCCUUUCUCAUCAGGCCUUGCUGCUGAGCUUGGUGUCAAAGGAAGAAGAAUACACUGAAGCUGGCCUCACGGUGAUAUAGUCUAGUAUAGAGAAUAGGGCCAGAUACCAACAAGU